UACAGAGGUCUCAAGCGUUGUUCGGAUUCAUUGGGCGUAAAGGGUGCGUAGGCGGCGCGGUUAAGUCGGGUGUGAAAUCUUGGAGCUUAACUCCGAAACUGCAUUCGAUACUGCCGUGCUUGAGGACUGGAGAGGAGACUGGAAUUUACGGUGUAGCGGUGAAAUGCGUAGAUAUCGUAAGGAAGACCAGUGGCGAAGGCGGGUCUCUGGACAGUUCCUGACGGCU
rnacentral:rRNA from 1 species